rnacentral:rRNA from 1 species
GACGAACGCUGGCGGCGUGCUUAACACAUGCAAGUCGAACGCUGAAGCUCAGCUUUUGUUGGGUGGAUGAGUGGCGAACGGGUGAGUAACACGUGAGUAACCUGCCUCCUUCUUUGGGAUAACGCCCGGAAACGGGUGCUAAUACUGGAUAUUCACUGGUCUUCGCAUGGGGGUUGGUGGAAAGGGUUUUUCUGGUGGGGGAUGGGCUCGCGGCCUAUCAGCUUGUUGGUGGGGUGAUGGCCUACCAAGGCUUUGACGGGUAGCCGGCCUGAGAGGGUGACCGGUCACAUUGGGACUGAGAUACGGCCCAGACUCCUACGGGAAGCAGCAGUGGGGAAUAUUGCACAAUGGGCGCAAGCCUGAUGCAGCGACGCCGCGUGAGGGAUGGAGGCCUUCGGGUUGUGAACCUCUUUCGCUCAUGGUCAAGCCGCAACAAUGGUUGUGGUGAGGGUAGUGGGUAAAGAAGCGCCGGCUAACUACGUG